AUCCAGCUGACGAUUCCCAAAUAAGACGAAACCCGCGUCAAGUUGGAU
rnacentral:hammerhead_ribozyme from 1 species